GAUCUAGGUAGACAUGAGACAUGAACCAUAAUAUUAUGAACAAAUACAGAAAUGUAUUACUAUCGUUUUAGUUUUAUUCUUUUGCUUUAGAUCCAGUCCUGAGAAGUAUAAAAAUUAUUAAGCACUGUGUUGAAAAUGUUUUUUGACAUCGACCAGCUCAAAGGGCUCUGACUAAAAUCUGUGUUGGAAAACACAUUUACGCUUAUCGAUAUUCGAUUAUUCACUGUCAACUGAAAAUCAUUUGACCACAAAUUUGCUACCAGUAAAGACGUGGCUUUAUAUUUUCCUUAAUUAUUAAUCUACCCAUCGAAUUCGUAGAGAGCCUCAUUAUGGAUGCAUUGCUAAAGUUUUUACUUAUUAAGGUUUCAAGUUCCGCCACAUUUCGUCUUAUGAGUCAUUUACUUAUUUUUUGGACCGCCCAGUUGGCCUAGUGGCUGCCACAUCUACAUUCAUGCAGACAUAAACCUCCUCCACCAUCAACACCACCAACAUAGCCGUUGUCAUUGCCGCUUGUCCAGGUGUUCAAUUAAACACUGACGUUGACCUUAAUACGCAAGCAACAAAAGCCACAAAGCAAAAAUAAAAACUGAAAAAGUGCCAGAAUUAUUUGACAAAUUGUUGCUGAAUGCUGAGAGCCGAAAUCAAGUUUAUGGUCAAUUUGCAUGAACAACUUUUCAGCGAUAAAAAAAAAAAAAAAAGAACUGAAGCGUACGUAAAGCAAAUAAACCUCCAGAUGUCAACCGUUUA